GACGAGCGCUGGCGGCGUGCCUAAUACAUGCAAGUAGAACGCUGAGGGGGGAGCCUUCCUCUUCUUGGAUGGGUGGGGACGGGGUGGUUAACGGGAGGUUAACCUGCUUGGAGGGGGGGGAAAACUAUGGGAAAGAAAGGUAAAUACGCAAUAAAAAUGGUUGAACCAUGUCAUUUAUUUGAAAGGGGAAAUUGCUCAACUAAAAGAUGACCUUGCGUUGUAUUAGCUAGUAGGUGAGGUAAUGGCUCACCUAGGCGACGAUACAUAGCCGACCUGAGAGGGUGAUCGGCCACACUGGGACUGAGACACGGCCCAGACUCCUACGGGAGGCAGCAGUAGGGAAUCUUCGGCAAUGGGGGCAACCCUGACCGAGCAACGCCGCGUGAGUGAAGAAGGUUUUCGGAUCGUAAAGCUCUGUUGUAAGUCAAGAACGGGUGUGAGAGUGGAAAGUUCACACUGUGACGGUAGCUUACCAGAAAGGGACGGCUAACUACGUG
rnacentral:rRNA from 1 species